UAAGAGUUUUCAUAUUACUUUGUAAUUGAUAUUAACAAUGUUCACAAAACAUGUUCGAUGUGCUUUGUCAAAAUAUACUCACAUCAUGUUUAAGACUGUAUCGAAACACAUCGUAGAUAAAAGUUUUAAACAUGGAUAACUUAAUUUUAACUGUUCCCGAAAAGUUCGGUAUUUUACCAGGAGAAUUUUAUCUGAAAAAACCAAAAGUAUUUAAAUUCGUAUCAUCUUUGCAUGCAUUGAUAAAUUUUUGCAUUUUUCUAAGUCCUACCGUUUACUUCGGAAUACAGUCGUUGAACAACGAAUCAUUGUCAAAUUAUUGGAUAAUGACAUCUGUGGUCACGUUAUUAGUGACUUUUUUAACUGUAAUUCCUGUGCUUUACAACUGCGUACUUUACCCUGACGAUUAUAUCGAAAUGCAGAAUCAUUUUCAGAAAAUUAAAGAAAUCUUUAAAAAGCGCACCAUUUAUGUGACCACAUCAUGGAGACGGACAAAAUUUCUUGUUUUUCAUAUAAUUUAUUUUGUAUGUAACAUAAUUUCGAUAUCCAUAUUUUGGGGUCACAUGCAUCCUGCAUUAACCAUUCUUAUGUUGUGGCCAACUUAUAUCUGGUAUCUCGAGGUUGCAGUGGCAUGGCAAAUAUUGGAAGCUGUUCGCAAUAGUCUUAAACAUUUAAAUCAAUUAAUAGAUUUAAUGUAUAGACUUAAUUACUUCCUUGCGGAUGCAAACAGUAUGCUUAAACAGCGAGAUGUGUGGAGUAGUAACGCAAGAGGCAGAGAAGAAGAUGAUGAAUCAAUUUUAGAUUUUAUUGAAAUCUUCGAAAGAGUCACCAAAAUAGUGAAUAUUUUUAAUAAACUAUUUGGAAUAUUUAAUGCAAUGUUAGUGUUUGGAUUUUUAAUCGAAUUCGUAGCAGUUAUAUAUCGUAUUAUCGCAUGGACUGCUGACAUGGAGUCUGUUUACAUGGAUUUGAUUUCUGCAAUAUUACACACCAUACACUGGUUAAUAUUCGUGGUUAAGGCGCAACAUGUCAUAGACGAAGGAAAUAAUUCGAUUGAAAUAUGUUUGGAGACAACUUUUCGAUCCUUACGCGAAAAAGAUUUGCACCCGAAGCAAAAAGAAAAUUUGGCUCAUCUUUCACUUUACGUAACUACAAAUUCUCCACAAUUUUCAGCCGCUAAAUUUUUUAUUAUAGAUUAUAGCGCAAUAUUUACUAUUUUUAAUAUGAUGACUGGAUAUAUUAUUGUCGCCGUUCAAUUUGCCAAUGCAUUUCGUGAAAAUGCCAACCCAAAAUAAUUUAAUUCCUCAAUUAGAGUGUGCUUAUCCGUGUUUGUAAUUAUGUAUUGCUAUUCUAUUCGAUUGUCAACAUAUAAUACACGAAUAAAAGAAAUUAUGGAUUUAUUAAUAUAA